UACGGAGGGGGCUAGCGUUGUUCGGAAUUACUGGGCGUAAAGCGCGCGUAGGCGGACCUGCAAGUCGGGGGUGAAAGCCCGAGGCUCAACCUCGGAACUGCCUUCGAUACUGCGGGUCUCGAGUCCGGGAGAGGCGAGUGGAAUUCCCGGUGUAGCGGUGAAAUGCGCAGAUAUCGGGAGGAACACCUAUGGCGAAGGCAGCUCGCUGGGACGUUACUGACGCUGAGACGCGAAAGCGUGGGGAGCAAACAGG
rnacentral:rRNA from 1 species